CGUGAGCGGCGGACGGGUGAGUAACGCGUGGGUAACCGUGCCUCAUACAGGGGAGUAACAGUUGGAAACGGCUGCUAAUACCGCAUAAGCGCACAGUACCGCAUGGUACGGUGUGAAAAACUCCGGUGGUAUGAGAUGGACCCGCGUCUGAUUAGGUAGUUGGUGGGGUAACGGCCCACCAAGCCGACGAUCAGUAGCCGACCUGAGAGGGUGACCGGCCACAUUGGGACUGAGACACGGCCCAA
rnacentral:rRNA from 1 species